rnacentral:rRNA from 1 species
AGCGAACGCUGGCGGCAGGCCUAACACAUGCAAGUCGAACGGCAGCACAGUAAGAGUUUGGUCUUACGGGUGGCGAGUGGGGGAAGGGAGAGGUAAAUAUCGGAAUCUACUUUUUCGUGGGGGAUAAGGUAGGGAAACUUACGAUAAUACCGGAUACGACGUAAGGGUGAAAGGAGGGGAUAUUUGGACCGUGCGCGGAUGAAUGAGCCGCUGUCGGAUUAGCUAGUUGGGGGGGUACAGGCCAACCAAGGGGACGAUCCGUAGCUGGUCUGUGAGGAUGAUCACCCGCACUCGAACUGAACCACGGUCCAUACUCCUAAGCGACGCCGCAGUCGGGAACAUUGGACAAUGGGCGCAAGCCUGGUCCAGCCCUACCGCGUGGGUCAAAAAGGCCUUCGGGUCGUAAUGCCCAUUUUUCGUUAGAGAAAAGCAGCAGGUUAAUACCCCGCUGUUCUGACGGUACCCAAAGAAUAAGCACCGGCUAACUUCGUG